AUGAACGCUGGCGGCGUGCCUAAUACAUGCAAGUCGAGCGAACGGACGAGAAGCUUGCUUCUCUGAUGUUAGCGGCGGACGGGUGAGUAACACGUGGAUAACCUACCUAUAAGACUGGGAUAACUUCGGGAAACCGGAGCUAAUACCGGAUGAUAUUUUGAACCGCAUGGUUCAAAAGUGAAAGACGGUCUUGCUGUCACUUAUAGAUGGAUCCGCGCUGCAUUAGCUAGUUGGUAAGGUAACGGCUUACCAAGGCAACGAUGCAUAGCCGACCUGAGAGGGUGAUCGGCCACACUGGAACUGAGACACGGUCCAGACUCCUACGGGAGGCAGCAGUAGGGAAUCUUUCGCAAUGGGCGAAAGCCUGACGGAGCAACGCCGCGUGAGUGAUGAAGGUCUUCGGAUCGUAAAACUCUGUUAUUAGGGAAGAACAUAUGUGUAAGUAACUGUGCACAUCUUGACGGUACCUAAUCAGAAAGCCACGGCUAACUACGUG
rnacentral:rRNA from 1 species